GAUGAACGCUGGCGGCGUGCCUAAUACAUGCAAGUCGAGCGAACAGACGAGGAGCUUACUCCUCUGACGUUAGCGGCGGACGGGUGAGUAACACGUGGAUAACCUACCUAUAAGACUGGGAUAACUUCGGGAAACCGGAGCUAAUACCGGAUAACAUAUUGAACCGCAUGGUUCAAUAGUGAAAGACGGUUUUGCUGUCACUUAUAGAUGGAUCCGCGUCGCAUUAGCUAGUUGGUAAGGUAACGGCUUACCAAGGCAACGAUGCGUAGCCGACCUGAGAGGGUGAUCGGCCACACUGGAACUGAGACACGGUCCAGACUCCUACGGGAGGCAGCAGUAGGGAAUCUUCCGCAAUGGGCGAAAGCCUGACGGAGCAACGCCGCGUGAGUGAAGAAGGUCUUCGGAUCGUAAAACUCUGUUAUUAGGGAAGAACAAAUGUGUAAGUAACUAUGCACGUCUUGACGGUACCUAAUCAGAAAGCCACGGCUAACUACGUG
rnacentral:rRNA from 1 species